rnacentral:lncRNA from 1 species
GUUUAAUGAUAAAUACUUAUGUCCCAGUAAAAGAUCUACUGAUCCUGAUUGCCCAAAUAGAGACUAACUUCUGCCCCUAUUUGUCAUGUGUAGGUUGGGCAACCUGGGAAAAACAGUGGAUCAAGAUAUGAUUAUCCAAAGGUUGCCUACCACACCAUACUGUAAAACUAUGUGUGUAACCUCGUUCACAUGACCAUUUCCAAUCUGCAGUACUUUAUUGACAGGUUUGGAGGUCUGUUUGGGUUCCAAAUAUAUGGCACAGGAGUAAAUUCAGGAACAAUAAUAUAUGUAGGUCUUGAAACUGAGACAGUGGCAACUCAAACUCAUCAGGUUUCUCAUUCCUUCUAUGAGGAGAUGAGUAUUGAGGAUAAAAUUCUCCAUAAUGUUAACAACCUAUUUAUUGAUUUGGCUGAGGGUAUUGCAGGUAGUCUUAAUGUAACUAAUUGCUAUGUGUGUGGAGGUACUAAUAUGGGAGACCAGUGGCCAUGGGAGGCAAAGGAAAUAUGGUACCCUGGCUCUGAG